rnacentral:rRNA from 1 species
GUGGGUAACCUACCUUGGGGAUGGGCAUAGCCGUUCUAACGGACGGGUAAUUCCCAGAGAUUCGGCGGGAGGGCAUCCUUCUACCGGGAAAUGAAUUUCGCCUCGAGAGGGGCCCAUGUGCUAUUAGCUAGUUGGUAGGGUAACGGCCUACCAAGGCUAAGAUGGCUAGCGGGUGUGAGAGCACGACCCGCGCCACUGGCACUGAGACACUGGCCAGACACCUACGGGUGGCUGCAGUCGAGGAUCUUCGUCAAUGGGCGCAAGCCUGAACGAGCGACGCCGCGUGCGCGAUGAAGGCCUUCGGGUUGUAAAGCGCGAAAGUGGGGAUAAAACCGCAAGGUUGAUAGAUCCACAGUAAGGACGGGCUAAGUUCGUGCCAGCAGCCGCGGUAAGACGAACUGUCCUAACGUUGUUCGGAAUCACUGGGCUUAAAGGGCGCGUAGGCGGUCCGACAAGUCAGGGGUGAAAUCCUGCAGCUUAACUGCAGAAGUGCCUUUGAUACUGUCGGUCUC